rnacentral:rRNA from 1 species
ACGGGAGGCAGCAGUGGGGAAUAUUGCACAAUGGGCGCAAGCCUGAUGCAGCCAUGCCGCGUGUAUGAAGAAGGCCUUCGGGUUGUAAAGUACUUUCAGCGAGGA